GGUGCUGUGGCUUAGUGGGUAAAGCAACUGCCUGCAGUACCAGCAUCCCAUAUGGGCACCAGUUCACAUCCUGGCUGCUCCA
rfam:Oryctolagus cuniculus chromosome 18, whole genome shotgun sequence.